rnacentral:rRNA from 1 species
AUGAAGGAGAGAUUUGCGAAGCUGCUGCUUGGAGAGGACAUGUCAGGGACCGGGAAAGGCGUGCCGUCGGCUCUAGCGCUGUCCAACGCCAUCACCAACCUGGCCGCGUCCGUCUUUGGGGAGCACCGCAAGCUGGAACCCAUGGCGCCGGACACCAAGGAGCGGUGGAAGAAGGAGGUCGGCUGGUUGCUGUCCGUCACCGACCACAUCGUCGAGUUUGUCCCGACAAGACAGACCGCCGAGAACGGCACUACCAUGGAGAUCAUGUCGACAGCGCAGCGUCGCGACCUGCAGAUGAAUAUCCCCGCUCUGCGCAAGCUAGACGCCAUGCUGAUUGGUUACAUGGACAACUUCGUGGACCAGACCGAGUUCUGGUACGAGAAGGGCGGCGACAACAAGCGCGACGACGACAAGUGGUGGAUGCCGACGGUGAAGGUGCCGGCGGAGGGCCUGUCGGAUGUGACCCGCAAGUGGCUGCAGUACCAGAAGGAGUGCGUGAACCAGGUGCUCAAGGCCGCCAUGGCCAUCAACGCGCAGGUGCUGGUGGAGAUGGAGAUCCCAGAGAUCUACAUCGAGUCGCUCCCCAAGAAGGGCAAGACGAGCCUGGGCGACGCCAUCUACCGGAGCAUCACCGACGAGGAGUUCGAUCCGAUCGAGUUCCUGGAAGGGGUGGACCUGUCGACGGAGCACAAGGUGCUUGAUCUCAAGAACCGCAUCGAGGCCUCCACCAUCAUCUGGAAGCGCAAGAUGCAGACCAAGGACGCCAAGUCCUCCUGGGGUUCCAUCAUCAGCUUCGAGAAGCGCGAGCAGUUCGAGGAGCGCGCCGAGACCAUCCUCCACCUCCUCAAGCUUCAGUUCCCCGGAGCCCCACAGUCACAGCUCGACAUCUCCAAGAUCCAAUACAACAGGGAUGUUGGUUACGCGCUCCUGGAGAGCUACUCGCGCGUCCUAGAGAGCCUGGCGUAUAGCGUGAUCUCGAGGAUCGAGGACGUGCUGGGUGCGGACGCGGCGGCCACGAACCUGACGGCGAGCGAGGCGGCUCGGAGGCAGCUGGAGAUGAACGCGCCAAGGAAGCUGGACGCCAGGGAGGAGCUGGAGAAGCUCAACGAGGCGCCGGCGUCCAUGACGCUCUACGACUUCAUGGGAUGGCACUUCGACCAGGACGAGCUCAUGAGGAAGAAGGAGGGGGGCACGCUCGACGAGGCCGGCGAGGCCAUGCUGCUCAAGAAGGCGCCAAGCCUCGCCCCCAAGAAGUUCUCCUACGUGGACAGCCUCACCGGCGGCGUAAGGAGCCCCUCCGCGCGUCACUGA